UUCAAGAUGCAUGUUGUUGUUUCUUUCUAAUUAGAUUUGUUACUGCUUCCUUUCAUGAUAUUUUCUUUUGCCUGACCCAGGGCUCAUUGGUUGGUGCCAUGAGCCCAUGAGCUUCCAGGUCAAUUGAUCUACCUGUAGGAUGUUAUUCAUGGCAGUGUGAUUUCUUGCCUAAACCAUGAAACCAUCAGAAGCAGCGAGAGAUAACGCUCGAGGUUCUGAGCAGGAUACGCCAUCCACACCUGCUGAUGCUCCUCGGAGCCUGUCCGGACAGGGGCUGCUUGGUGUCAGUGAAGUCUGACACACACUCUUUUUGCAUGGUGAUCCUUCAGCUGCUGACGGCAAGGCCACCUUGAAUACUUAUAAUUGCUGAAGGUGCUAGGAGGAUAUUCCACCCUGAUGACAAACUGCCACCAUGGUGUGAAGAACUGGAGCGCUAUAACUGUCCGCUCGAUAUUCUCGCCGCCUGGAAUCGUGGCCCAUUGGUCCAGUGAAUUUGCUGUGCAACCUUUGUCAGCUUCCUACUGAUAGUUUAAAGAUAUUUUGCUUAAUUAUACCACACCAGCAUGACUUCCUCCGUAUUAUUACUACUUGAUAAUAUAUUCCUUGUUGUUGUUCACCAAUAGUUGAAUCAUGCUCAUAGAUCUAUGUCCCAUGCAACUAAACUAUGGCAUGUUUCUCAUAG